GACUGGAACGGAACAGGCAGAGGUAAAUAUUCCCGAAAACACGCCCAAUUCUUACUUCCCAUCUCCCGUUCUGAUGACGCCUGUGCAGUGUCUUGAGCAUCUGACGUUAGAUGCAGCUUUGGGGCUACUAGUUAAUGGAGACAUCGAAUCAGUUCUUUUUUCCUUUUUAUUUUGUCUAAUUUAUCAUUCUCUUAGAUGUCAGUCUUUACCUAGUGAUUUGACGGGCAGAGUUACGCUGAAGAAGUUGGAAUGGUUCUUCUCAAAGAAAUCUGUUAAUUUGAAUGGUUCUUCAUUUUUACCAGCGAUUCUCAACAAUUUAUCUAAAUUUCUUAAAAAAUAGGGUCAUCAAACUAGCGCUAAUAA
rnacentral:misc_RNA from 1 species